AAAACCAGGGUACUAUUACGAUAAUACUACUGAUAGAUGUGUGCUACGUAAUAAAACUACGACGUGUGACUUGCAACGUCAUUUAUUCCCAUCUGAAGAAGAGUGCAACUGGGAAUGCCGAACAGAUACAAUCUGCAAGCUUCCGUUAGAUGAAGGAAGGGAGUGUCGAAAAACUGAAGAGUUGAUGUAUUACUUCAAUUACACUAAGCAAGAGUGUGACCUUUUCUUUUACAAAGGUUGCGAAGGCAAUGCAAACAGAUUUGGUUCCGUGCGAGAGUGCGAGGUGAUAUGCAGAGGCUCCCGGUGUGCCCUUCCGAUCAAAGACAACGAUGGUAUUUGCAAUCCUAGACGAAUAACGUACCACUUCCAAGGUCAAGAUGGCAAGAGUUCCUGCGUGAAAAAAGCCAACGGAUGUGACCGGAAUGCUCAGAACUUCAAAAAGGAAACCGAUUGUCGCCGCGUGUGCAUUUUAAGACCAUAGCCUCUCUCAAGUACAUGAAGACUGUAUCAACAAGACAACUUACUAGGACACUACGAGAAAACUCCGCGAAGCAACUUUUUGCAAACGCCAACAAAACAAUCUGUCCAAUCAAGUAACAAGUAUCCGAGGAACUAACGAUGAACUAUUUAUUUUACUGCAUUUGGCGAUGUUACUCAUUGCUGGAGCAGGAAACAUCUUGCACUAGAGAAAUAUUACUGUAGAUAAUGUAGAUGACUGGCGAUUUUUUUCGAAUGUUAUUUAAUGAAUUGAUGUGGGUGUCGAAUGCGUCUGACAGAUAAUGUCGCUAAUACUACCCGCAAAGACGUAGCAUGACCGGCUCAGCAGCGCAAGGCAUUUUUAAGAGGUGCAUGGGGCGAG
rnacentral:lncRNA from 1 species